rnacentral:lncRNA from 1 species
UUGGACUUACCUUUGAUUAAGGGAUCUCAAAUCAAAGGGUAAUAAUCAGUCAUUCAAAAGGAAAUAAAUCACAAAGUACGGUAUAAUCACAUAAGGAAAUAGGGUAGCAUAGAGCAUGCAAUAAAGACUAGAUACAUGACCAUCUAAUUAAGGAAAUAGGCAGGGCAAAAUCAAUCAAAAUGUUGUAAUCAUAUAUAAGGAAAAAUAUCACCGUAAUCUUGGAAAAUAGUUUUCAAAAUAAUGACUGAGAUUGAAACCCUGGGAGUCAGUAUUAAUUGAGAAAAGUAUCCCAUAAAUUAAGGAAGAAGUUCAAACUGUAGGAAAAUACGCGGAAUCACAAUUUGAAAGCAAGUAUCACAGUCUCAAAGAGGGUUCAAGGAAUCAGUAUAAAAUUACCAUGCAAGCAAUAAGAGAAAAUUUUCAGUGAAGAACACAAAAAGAACAACACACUAACAACAAGGAGCAUAGAACUCGGGGAGAAAUCCAGAAGAACACAAAACAAGCAAAUAAUGCAAAUCCAAACAGCCAAAAAUAGGAUUUUAUCAGACUUAAGCAAAACAAUUAGAAAAUAGUAUUGAGAAUGACGAACUAGUACUCAGAAUCAAAAAAUAAAGUGAUUUCGAAAAGGGGUCAGAAACCCUAGUUUUAAAAAGGAAUAGAAAUUGUUUAAAACUGGAAUAAUCGUAAGAAAUAGUGCAAAAUAUGAAGGUGUGAGUUAAAAUUGUUAAGUAAAUCAGAGAUUUAAGAGGUUUGGGUUGCAAUUAGGGUUUCAUAAGAAGCUUGUUAGAGGGGUAAGAGAAACCUGGCUGUGAAGCUCAAAGAUAAUGGUGUUUUUAGGAUCAUUGAACCAAAAUCAUUGGAGAAAGGCCGGAAUCGGACCCCCGGCAAGGCUUCAGCGACCAUUUUCAUGGUGGAGGCUUCUAUGGUUUGAAACUCUGGAGAGAAGCAACGAUACGGGAUCCCAUGGUGGCUAGAGGUCGAGAGAAGUGAGGACGGAGCAUGGCCAGAGAGGCGAUGAAGCUCGUCGGAGAAGAAGGAGUGAACCAGAAGUUUCUACAGAGAAGGGAGAGGAAUCAUUCAAGAGAGAGUGAGAUAGAGAUAGAGACCGAUCUCUGAGAAAU